rnacentral:rRNA from 1 species
UGGCGACCGGCGCACGGGUGAGUAACGCGUAUCCAACCUGCCCUUUACUAUGGGACAGCCCGUCGAAAGGCGGAUUAAUACCGUAUGUUGUCAUGUUGAUGCAUAUUUUCAUGACCAAAGGCUUCGGCCGGUAAAGGAUGGGGAUGCGUCUGAUUAGCUUGCCGGCGGGGUAACGGCCCACCGGGGCGACGAUCAGUAGGGGUUCUGAGAGGAAGGUCCCCCACAUUGGAACUGAGACACGGUCCAAACUCCUACGGGAGGCAGCAG